CCUCGCAUUUCUGUGGCCCAUCGAUCGCUCAACAGGGACGGCGCAGUUGGAGUCGGAUUUAGAGGGAUGAAGACGGAGGAGGAGGUCUUAUUGCGGCAGGACAAGAACGGAUCCCCCUUUGUUCGGUGCUACCACCCAUUUUCUGUUGCAUGGCUCUACGGCACGGCGGCGGGAUUGGUGCAGCAGCAUGUCCAAAUGGACUGAACUACCAGAAACAGAAUCCCCAGUCCUCCUCCAAUUUCCUCGGGCUCCGUCUGUCAAGUCUCAAGGUCCAUGACCACCACAUUCCACCUGUCGCAUUCAGACGCUUCCCGUUGGCACUGGCAAUCCGGAGGAGCCAGCUUGGUGGUGGCAACAUCAUCGGCGACGGCGACGAGCAGAAGAAGGCCCAUCGAAACGGUGGCAGCAACAGCAGCAGCGCUCCGACUGCGAGGGAUCAGAGAAGGGUCGCAGCAGAAGAGAAGAGAAAGGGCGACUGCGCGAAGGAAGGGGAUGCCCCGACAAGCAGCAGCAAGCAGCAGCAGCAGCAGCAGGGCCCCUCGGUCUCGCUGACGCUGGAAGACGUGAACCCGGUGGGCCUGGGGCGGAGAUCCCGCCAGAUCUUCGACGAGGUGUGGCGCAAAUUCUCGGGGCUGGGCCAGAUCUCUCGGACUCCCACCGCCGACGACCGCCUCCUCGACGCGGUCCUCAUCCGUGGACCCAUGUGCGAGUUCACCAUCCCCGGCGCGCAGGACACCACCGUGCUCGUUGUCGGGGCUACAAGCCGGAUCGGACGAAUCGUCGUCCGCAAGCUCAUGCUUAGGGGAUACAAGGUCAAGGCUUUAGUAAGAAAAGCUGAUCCAGAAGUGCUAGAUACGCUGCCGAGAUCGGUGGCAAUAGCGGUUGGUGAUGUGGGCGAACCUUCCACUCUCAAAGCUGCCGUGGAGGGCUGCAACAAGAUCAUCUACUGCGCCACCGCACGCUCUGCUAUCACGGGGGACCUCAACAGAGUCGAUUACCAAGGGGUGCGCAACGUCACCAAGGCAUUUCAGGAUUACAACAAUCAGCUAGCACGGCUGAGGGCUGGCAAGAGUAGCAAGAGCAAGCUCGUGCUUGCGAAAUUCAAAUCUGCUGAAUCAUUGAAAGGCUGGGAAGUUCGCCGGGGAACUUACUUUCAGGAUGUUGUUGCUGCCAAGUAUGAUGGGGGGAUGGAUGCAAAGUUUGAAUAUACGGAAUCUGGUGAUGCUGUCUUCUCAGGAUAUGUCUUUACUAGAGGCGGAUAUGUGGAACUCUCCAAAAAGCUUGCUCUUCCAUUGGGUUCUACACUCGACAGGUAUGAUGGUUUGCUUCUCUCGGUUGGGGGAAAUGGAAGGUCCUAUGUUUUAAUACUUGAGGCUGGCCCACUAGCUGAUACUUCUCAGAGCAAAAUGUAUUUUGCUCGAAUGACCACAAAAGUCGGCUUUUGCAGGGUAAGAGUACCAUUUUCAUCUUUUCGUCCGGUGAAACCAGAUGAUCCUCCCCUAGACCCUUUUCUUGUACAUACAUUGACCAUUCGUUUCGAACCAAGAAGACAGAAACCUGUUGAAGGACCUGGAGGAAAUAGACAGGACCCUAGAAGCUUCAAAUUGAUAAUGGAAUACAUAAAAGCAUUACCUGAUCUGGAAUUGAACGCAGCAGAAGGGAGCAAGUUCUUAAAGCCAAGAAGGCUGGAGAGGAUUCAUUAAGAAGAUCAGGCCUUGGAUAUACCAUUAUUCGUCCUGGUCCGUUGCAGGAAGAACCUGGCGGUCAGCGUGCACUGAUCUUUGAUCAAGGGAACAGGAUCUCUCAGGGCAUCAGCUGCGCCGAUGUAGCAGAUAUAUGUGUCAAGGCAUUGCAUGAUUCAACGGCAAGAAAUAAGAGCUUUGAUGUAUGCUAUGAGUAUGUUGCUGAGCAAGGAAAGGAGCUUUUUGAAUUGGUUGCACAUUUGCCUGACAAAGCAAAUAACUAUCUCACGCCAGCUCUAUCUGUUCUAGAGAAAAACACCUGAUUUCAAGAAUUAUAUAACUUACUGAUGCUACACGCCCGUUCCUUUGUAUAGAUACGGCAAUUUUUGCCUGUUAGGCGAUCAUCUAUAAUUUGUACAUGUAAUUUUGUACAUGAUCCGUUGUCAAUUAUAUUUGGUAGUGUAGGAGAAAGAAUUGGUGGCAUAUGGAAGAA